GGCCAGACUCCUACGGGAGGCAGCAGUGAGGAAUAUUGGUCAAUGGGCGCAGGCCUGAACCAGCCAAGUCGCGUGAGGGAAGACUGCCCUAUGGGUUGUAAACCUCUUUUAUAAGGGAAGAAUAAUGACUACGUGUAGUCAGAUGCCCGUACCUUAUGAAUAAGCACCGGCUAACUACGUGCCAGCAGCCGCGGUAAUACGUAGGGGGCAAGCGUUAUCCGGAUUUACUGGGUGUAAAGGGAGCGUAGACGGCAGUGCAAGUCUGGAGUGAAAGGCGGGGGCUCAACCCCCGGACUGCUCUGGAAACUGUACGGCUGGAGUGCAGGAGAGGUAAGUGGAAUUCCUAGUGUAGCGGUGAAAUGCGUAGAUAUUAGGAGGAACACCAGUGGCGAAGGCGGCUUACUGGACUGUAACUGACGUUGAGGCUCGAAAGCGUGGGGAGCAAACAGGAUUAGAUACCCUGGUA
rnacentral:rRNA from 1 species